UACGUAGGGUGCGAGCGUUAAUCGGGAUUACUGGGCGUAAAGCGUGCGCAGGCGGUUUUCCAAGACAGAUGUGAAAUCCCCGGGCUCAACCUGGGAAUGGCAUUUGUGACUGGAAGGCUAGAGUGUGUCAGAGGGGGGUAGAAUUCCACGUGUAGCAGUGAAAUGCGUAGAGAUGUGGAGGAAUACCGAUGGCGAAGGCAGCCCCCUGGGAUAACACUGACGCUCAUGCACGAAAGCGUGGGGAGCAAACAGG
rnacentral:rRNA from 1 species